CCCAUUGCCAAGCCUGAAUGCGCAUAUAUUUUUUGUAAAUAUUAAAAAAUAAAAUAAAAUAAAAUAAAUAAUUCUCGGGGCAGUGCUCCCCGUCUGGCUCGUUCGAGUCCUCCCGUCGUCUGUGACGCUCGCGAGCGAGACCGCCCCCGCCGCUGACAUCUCCACCUCUACUGCCGUCGCCUCCACCGCCACCUCCGCAGCCGCAGCAGCGCCUCCACCUCCGCAUCUCCCUCUCUGGCGAUGAUUUCUUCGUGGGGGAGGACAUCGAGGCGUCGUCGGCGGGAUGUCGGCCCCUGCGCUGUCGCCGUCGGUCGGGGAUCGGCCCGGGUGUCGUCGGUGAUCUGCUGCAGUUAUUUUCGGUUUAAUUUGCUCUCCGCUCUGGGUUAGCGGUCGUCUGCCGAGCGGGCGUUUACUAUUUCGCGCUGUCAGGGCUCAGGUGUAGCAUAUUCGCUCGUGCUGGGCAGACGAGAAUAACAAUAAGAUUAGCAUUUACUAUUUGUUUCGAAGUCAGAACUCAACAAUCGAACAUUUUUCUGAAGAUUGUCAGCUAUAUACUUGUUUACAUGUGCUCUAGAACUUGUUAAAUGCAGCAUCCGUCUUGUAUUCCUGUAAGUGCGAGUUACUACUGCCUGUCUUGUUUUAAUCCGAUAUUUUAGCUAAUGAGAAGGCUUUGUUGUUGUUUAAGCAAAUGUAAGCUACUACAUGUUUUAUUUUACAAUUUGCACGUUUGCGUUGCAUUUGUAAUCAGAGUUUGCCACUUUCCUGUAGAGUAAAAUUAUUAGCUGAUGAACUUGCAUAUAAAGUCUCUUCGUUUCAUUUUGUUCCCUGUUCUGAAUCUAAAUGUUUUGCAAUCAGAGUUCUCUACCCUAAAUUAUGGUAAUUUUGUCCAUUUUAUGGAUUUAGUGGACUUGGUGCAAGCAUUCGGAAAUGGGCCUGAGCUCAUGUAGCUAUAGCUUUUGCUUUGAACUGAGAUAGUAGUACAAGGUUUGAAGAAAGAAGGUGCUUGGAGGAAGAAGAUGCUUUGUUACUGUCAAAAUAUUUCUGAAGAUGUCUCCCAUGGGGUUGGGGAUUGAUGUGAAUACCGUGCUAGGUAGCAGGAUAGCAGCAGCUCUAGCAUUUUUUCUUUCUCAUGUGCAUGCUUGUGCGGGACUACAUGAGGAAAAGAGCAUCAUUUCAGUUUUGGCCAGCCACUGCUAGAAUAGUUGCAGCCGACAAGUAGUAGCGCUACUAGGAACGGUAAUACUACUUCUGCUGCUGUUACAUUACCUGUAGAUGAACAGGGAGAUGUCAAUUAGGAAAGAAACAGGGCAUGAACACAAGGAUAAGGUUGUAUCAUGAACCUGAUGUGUGCAUACUGCAUUCAUUCAGUCAUGAUUAGCCCAACAAUUCAGCAUGAUUUAUGCCUGUAUAUACAUAUGCACUGGCUUUUCUGGUAAAUGCUUGUGGGUUAGAUCAAAGAAGAAAAUAGGUUCUUGAUCUUUAAAAGACCCUAAAUCAGGUGUAGGUGCUAGUCUUCAUUUGAAUUUAUUGUAUUAUUUGACUUGUGUCUCACCCCAAGAAUUGUAUUUUUAUUUUAUAAGAGAGGUUUUACGAGCAGGGGAACUGGGCUGCAUGGUUGUGAGUUUGUGACAGAUUGUGCUACAAGCAUAAACUGAAGGCCUCGAAUAUCGAAGUAAUGGACAGAUGCAGGCACUGGCGAAACGUAGGCUGAUGUGGUAUCUGUUGCUGGUUUGUCCUGGCUGCCUAGCAUCAUCAAAAUGGGGAAGUUCAGAUGGCGUCUAGUUUGGCAUGCCGUUUAGCACGAUCAGAAUGUAAAAAGGUUCAGCUGGUGUUUGCCGAAUGGUUUGCGAAUGGAUUGAUGUUGAUCUCUCGUCCUACCAUCGUGCACCAACUUUUUGUACUAUCUGAGCCAGUGUAAUUGGAACUAUGAGAUACGUUCAGUUGGAAGUGUCACCAAUGACACCCAUCUGGUUUAUGAGAUGCGUUCAGUUGGAAGUGUCACCAGCGACUCCUCUCCCCCAUUUUAACAACUGUGAGAUGCGUUCAAUUGGAAGCGAGAUACUAUAAUUUUUCUUGUAAUGUAUGGAUGAUCUUCUUAUGUUGGUGCAGAUUUUUAACAAAUUUUAUAGAUAGAGAGAAGGUGAUGCGUUUAAUUGGUACGGCGGCUUAGGCGGAGGCGGUCAUGGCGCGUCGGAGCUCUACGU